rnacentral:sRNA from 1 species
CCGAGCGCCAGCGAGAGAGCGUUGCCGCAGGCAACGACCCGUAGGGCGAAGCGCGCAGCGCUGAGUAAUCCUUCCCCCACCACCA